ACUUACUUGGUUUCUCACUUCUGAUAUUCCCCCUCAUUUAAGCCCAGUCUGGAUCUUUCCUUAACUUUAUGAAAGAGUGAUUACAUGCUGGAGAAGGCCAACUUUGAACUCUAAAGAUGAAAUAAAUCUACAUUCCAGG